UAGUCCAUCGCAAAUAGCGCUAGCUCGUCGAAAAUAAGAGAACGCAGAAAUAAAGUAGAGCUCAGAAUUAAAGUGUAGCUCGUCAACAAACUGGCAAUGAGAGAGCGAGAGAGGGCGCAAUUUCCUACGAUAGCUGUGCUCUACGAAAUUCAACUUUCUGAAAUAUAUACAUGAUAUAGCAAAACUAAUUAUCUGUUUAUAGAAUUAGUGUUCGGAAUCCUGAUUUCUGAGUGAACUUCAGUUGAACAGAAAAUCUUUGAGGGACCAUCGACAUCAAAUUAUUGGCAUUCCAUACCAAAAAAAAUCAAAUGGGAUCAAGUUUUUAGCAGUCUCAGCCAGUCAGAAGUACAGCUACCAUUUGCACAUCACCAAGAGUAACAAUCUGAUGAAGAAGAUAUCUGAACUCAAAACUUUCAAGGUUUUGCAGGCUGUUUGAGUAGCACCAGGGCAGAUUAAGAAGAAAUAUGGAGGUCAAGUUCAUAACAAGUAGUUACUGCAUCGCAGUUACACCUUUUAAAAAAUCAAUGAAUUUGAAUAAAUGUGUACAUUAAUGCAUAUAUAUUGAAUGUUGCUUGAACUACACAUCUGUAGAAAAAAAAACAUUGGAGUAUAAAUAUUUAGGUUUCACACAACAUUAAAACAUUUUUCCAAAGGGCACACCUACCCUUUAUUAAUGAUCUAAUCAUCUAAAUGUAGUAUUGUGUUAGUGAAAGUACUUUUAAUGAUAUUAGUAGUUUGAAAGGGAUAGGUUGUAUUCUGGUGAUAUAAUAAAUUCAGAAUGGGUCUUUACUGAGGUCUGGGCUGUCUAACAUACGUGCCUACAGACAUAUAUAAGAUAAUAAGAAAUGAUGGAUUUAAUGUGCAUACUAAAAAAGCAAGGUGGCAGAAUAAAUGAUUGAGAAAUCCCUCUCACUCCUAGACCCUAUUUCAUUAAGACUUAACCUCUACUCUAAAUCUGCCAUUCUGGUAAUUACCAUGAAAACAUUAAAGCAACAGGU